rnacentral:rRNA from 1 species
UACGUAGGGUGCGAGCGUUGUCCGGAAUUAUUGGGCGUAAAGAGCUCGUAGGCGGUCUGUCGCGUCGAUCGUGAAAACUUGGGGCUUAACCCUGAGCUUGCGGUCGAUACGGGCAUGACUGGAGUUCGGCAGGGGAGAGUGGAAUUCCUGGUGUAGCGGUGAAAUGCGCAGAUAUCAGGAGGAACACCGGUGGCGAAGGCGGGUCUCUGGACAGUUCCUGACGCUGAGGCACGAAGGCCAGGGGAGCAAACGGG